GUGAGGAGAUGUUUCGGGUCCGGGGAUUCUCCUUCAGAACAGGACCAGGUUUCAGGAACAUCCCGGGGAGGUCGCCAGGCCCCGAGCGCCAAGACCUGGCUCCUGCCCCCGGGGAGAGGAGACAGUGAGACAGGCGUAUUUGAAGAUCUGAAGACAGAAGUUUCAAAAUGAACAGGUGGAAGCGUUAUGCCGGAAACAUUGACUCUCUGCUCCUCGGAUGCUGCCGGACCUGCUGUGCUUUCCCAGUGCUGCGCUUUUUGACUCUGACUCCAGCGACUGCAGUCCUCACUUUGACAUCAAUGUCUGACAGUCACCCAAUCCAUCAGGACCGCAACAAUUUUCAACUAUGAUUCUGUGAGAAGGAAACAAGCUUUUUGGUUCUUGUUUGAGUACUUUUUCAGCAUCAGUGGGACUAGAUGAGAGACCCUACUGUUGCAGUGCACUGAGCGUGGAGCGUGUAACAGCGAUACGGCCUGAAAACAGGAAUUCACAGUGGGGAGGGGCUGUACAAGUGUUUGCGUACAGCUGAAGCUUCAGCCAUGGAGAAACUGGAGGAAUCCCGCCCUGUGGAGAAACCA